rnacentral:rRNA from 1 species
ACGCGAGGAACCUUACCAGGUCUUGACAUCCCAUUGACCGCUAUGGAGACAUAGCUUUCCCUUCGGGGACAGUGGUGACAGGUGGUGCAUGGUUGUCGUCAGCUCGUGUCGUGAGAUGUUGGGUUAAGUCCCGCAACGAGCGCAACCCUUGUUCUUAGUUGCCAUCAUUUAGUUGGGCACUCUAAGGUGACUGCCGGUGACAAACCGGAGGAAGGUGGGGAUGACGUCAAAUCAUCAUGCCCCUUAUGACCUGGGCUACACACGUACUACAAUGGCCAGUACAACGGGAAGCGAAGCCGCGAGGUGGAGCCAAUCCUAAAAAGCUGGUCUCAGUUCGGAUUGCAGGCUGCAACUCGCCUGCAUGAAGUCGGAAUUGCUAGUAAUCGCGGAUCAGCAUGCCGCGGUGAAUACGUUCCCGGGUCUUGCACACACCGCCCGU